GGAAAGUGUCCAUGGUAUGCGUACUACAGAAUUCGGGCGGAAGCAGUAGGUCAUCCGGGUACUUCUCGCCUACUGAAUUUCGAAUACUAUGAAUUCGGACAUACUACUCGCCUCGCAUACUGUUUUUCGCGUACUAUAUAGUAGGGAAGUAUGCGAUUUCGGACGCAGCACAUGCCCUGUUUUUCCCAUCUGACCUCAUUACCGCUAAUUAGUUCACGCGCUGUGGCGCUAUUGUUAUUACAAACAUCCACGUGAAAGACGCGCCAAAUGACCGCCCACAUCAACUCGUAAACAAAGCAGCAACGUGUUUGUGUCGGAUACUUUCAUUUUUGGAAGAAAGCGCUGAGAGGAAAAAGCCUUGUAUUUACUCCGGAUGAGGACGCGCUGAGAGGAACAGGCUGAGCUUGUUUAUCUCACAAACAGAAUGCGAGCGCGACUACAGGCAGCUGACGAGAGGAUCUUAUACAGUUUGCUUGUGAUCUGAUACCUGCACAACAGAUGAAUCCUGCAAACUUUUCCUCUGAGAGCACUGUACCAACAUCAGAUCUUCAACUACACUGAUUUUCUAUUGGUAAAACAAGUUCCUUGACUACUGAUGAUGAGUUUUGCAAGCACUUAAAUAUCAGUGUAAUCGCCACGUGAGGGCGCGCGCCAAACGUAAUCGCCCACAUCACUGUAAACAAAGCACCGAGACUUUUUCUUUUCCAAGUUCAUCUGGGCUACUUGUCGUUUCUAAGAUGCGUAAGAAGAUGCGCUGUGAAGAACAAGAAUUCAGAGGAAGAACACGACGUGACACACGGCGCGAUCCAUCAGAGGAGAUAUUUACAUGAUGAUCUGAUACCUGCACAACAGAUGAAUCCUGCUGUCUUUCAAACUGAGAGCGCUGUACUAACAUCAGGUGUUCAACUACACAUAUUUUAGUGUAAAAAAAAAAAAGUUCCUUGACUACUGAUGAUGAGUUUUGCAAGCACUUAAAUAUCAGUCAUCCUUGAUGGAAACCCUUGUUUGAAAAGAUGUGAUGAGCUGACUGAAAAAGCAGAAAGCAAAUGAAUAU